UGUCCUGAUGUGAAAGCCUCCGGUCCACUGUGGAAUGCUUCGGAACUGUCUACUUGAGUGCAGAAUGGAAAGUGGAACUCCAUGUGUAGCGGUGAAAUGCGUAAUUAUGGAAGAACACCAGUGGCGAAGGCGGCUUACUGGACUGCAACUGACGUUGAGGCUCGAAAGUGUGGGUAGCAAACAGGAUUAGAUACCCUGGUAGUCCAUACCGUAAACGAUGAAUGCUAAGUGUUAGAGGGUUUCCGCCCUUUAGUGCUGAAGCUAACGCAUUAAGUGUUCCGCCUGGGGAGUACGGCCGCAAGGUUGAAACUCAAAGGAAUUGACGGGGGCCCGCACAAGCGGUGGAGCAUUGU
rnacentral:rRNA from 1 species